ensembl:lncRNA
GGAAGAAUGCAGCAGUAUCAGCGCACUCCAUCCCGGGGAUCUGAAUGCAUUUGCGGAGAGAACAGGGAAAUAAGAGUUCCAACCAGGUGGACUCUCAAUGUCUUGCAAGCGACACCUAGAAGCAGGUACAGGCAGGAGGUACAGCACCCUGCAACCUCCAGGGGCCUUUGUGCAAAUGUUCAUGUCCUAGAAGCACGUGGCGGAGCACGUCCUGGGAUCAAGGUGCCAUGGACUGGAAAAUGCAGCUCUGGACAUACAGGCUUGGCGGAGUUCCUGUGUGAAGACAAAACUCCCAGUACUCCAGAAACGUGGAGGCAGAAGAGCAGUGACAAGGUGAAGCCAUGGCAGAGAAGAACACCUGUGAAAAACUGAUGGAAGACAACGCUGAGUCAGGCGCACUGCUGCAGGAGCUCAUGGAGUGUAAGAAGAGGUCUGCAGAGCUGGCAGCUGUUCUCCGAGAGCAGACCAAAGUCCGUGAGGCACUGAAGGAGGACGUGGAGAUGGAGAUGAAAAAACUCCAGAAGGCACAACGGAGGGUCGAAAAGCGCACUGCCCCCAGGAGGAAGAUGACACACAGGGAAGAGCACAUGAGUUCCCUGAUGCAGGAGGCAGUGGCAGUGCGAUUGGAUGAGCAGACAGCAGCACAGAAGCACCCACUUGUAACCACCUGGCUGCGGGCGUUUCUGCUGUUCUUGGGCCUGCUGCAGCUUGUCUUCUUCACCCUGUUUGUGCUGCAGAAGGACAUCCUUCACUGGGUCCUGCCUGGAGAGCUGGCGACUGCCCUUGGCAUCCGUCCACCUAAGCCCGCUCUUUUCUGACCCCACAACACACUGCGGCCCUUCAUCGGGA